rnacentral:sRNA from 1 species
CUCUGGAGGCGGGAUCUGGGCGGGCAGUCGAGAGACCAGGCCCAAUGGAAAAGAAAAGCCUGAGCGCUCGCGUCCCCACAGGUCGCCAGAAACUUGGCGGAGCGAGCCAAGGGCGGAGUUUGAGAAAGGGGCUGCGUCCAAUGAGUGGAGCGAAGCGAAAUAUUAAAAAGGGAGCCGUUCCCCGCUCUAUCCCCAAUCUAGCGGAGGUAAAGAAGAAAGGCAAAAUGAAGAAGCUCGGCCAAGCAAUGGAAGAAGACCUAAUCGUGGGACUGCAAGGGAUGGAGCUGAACCUUGAGGCUGAAGCACUGGCUGGCACUGGCUUGGUGUUGGAUGAGCAGCUAAAUGAAUUCCAUUGCCUCUGGGAUGACAGCUUCCCGGAAGGCCCUGAGCGGCUCCAUGCCAUCAAGGAGCAACUGAUCCAGGAGGGCCUCCUAGAUCGCUGCGUGUCCUUUCAGGCCCGGUUUGCUGAAAAGGAAGAGCUGAUGUUGGUUCACAGCCUAGAAUAUAUUGAUCUGAUGGAAACAACCCAGUACAUGAAUGAGGGAGAACUCCGUGUCCUAGCAGACACCUACGACUCAGUUUAUCUGCAUCCGAACUCAUACUCCUGUGCCUGCCUGGCCUCAGGCUCUGUCCUCAGGCUGGUGGAUGCGGUCCUGGGGGCUGAGAUCCGGAAUGGCAUGGCCAUCAUUAGGCCUCCUGGACAUCACGCCCAGCACAGUCUUAUGGAUGGCUAUUGCAUGUUCAACCACGUGGCUGUGGCAGCCCGCUAUGCUCAACAGAAACACCGCAUCCGGAG